AAUAUAUUUACUCAAUUUUUUUAAAUUAGUUUACUGUUCUGACCUCCCAAUCAUCAUCUGCAAGCCAAAGAAGAUUUUUUCUCCUUAUUACUUUCCAGUUAUCUUGUUUGCCCUUCCAAUCAACUGCAAUCCGCUGAUUAGGACUCCUCAUUAUUUGGUUUUGCGGAAAAGAAACUUGAUCCACAAUGAAUCCACAACAAAGAAUAUGAAAACCAUCUUGAUCCUACAUAACAUAAUCUGAUGCGGUGAUAUUAUUCUUAUUAAUCUUUAUUAUAGAAACAUAUACAAUAUAUUUUUUUCAAGAUUUAUUUAUAAAUCUAUUACCAGUUAUAAUAUGUUAACCUGUUCAAAGUUCACCCUUUAGAAAAUAAAAGUUUUAUUCGUUGAAAAUACUAUGUUAGCUUAUUGUUUUUAUUAUUAUUCCUCAUACUUACAGCACCCUAAAACUUAAAUGACGCAAUAUGUGGGAAAUACAUACGCGUGUAUGUCUU